GACGAAGGUGGCAAGCGUUGUUCGGAAUUACUGGGCGUAAAGCGCGUGUAGGCGGUUGAGCGGGUCAGAUGUGAAAGCCUUCCGCUUAACGGAAGAAGUGCAUUUGAAACUACUCAACUGGAGUUCGGGAGAGGAGAGUGGAAUUCCCGGUGUAGAGGUGAAAUUCGUAGAUAUCGGGAGGAACACCGGUGGCGAAGGCGGCUCUCUGGCCCGGUACUGACGCUGAGACGCGAAAGCGUGGGGAGCAAAC
rnacentral:rRNA from 1 species